AGUGAACGCUGGCGGUAGGCCUAACACAUGCAAGUCGAACGGCAGCACAGUAAGAGCUUGCUCUUACGGGUGGCGAGUGGCAGACGGGUGAGGAAUACAUCGGAAUCUACUUUUUCGUGGGGGAUAACGUAGGGAAACUUACGCUAAUACCGCAUACGACCUACGGGUGAAAGCAGGGGAUCUUCGGACCUUGCGCGAUUGAAUGAGCCGAUGUCGGAUUAGCUAGUUGGCGGGGUAAAGGCCCACCAAGGCGACGAUCCGUAGCUGGUCUGGGAGGAUGAUCAGCCACACUGGAACUGAGACACGGUCCAGACUCCUACGGGAGGCAGCAGUGGGGAAUAUUGGACAAUGGGCGCAAGCCUGAUCCAGCCAUACCGCGUGGGUGAAGAAGGCCUUCGGGUUGUAAAGCCCUUUUGUUGGGAAAGAAAAGCAGCAGGUUAAUACCCCGCUGUUCUGACGGUACCCAAAGAAGAAGCACCGGCUAACUUCGU
rnacentral:rRNA from 1 species